rnacentral:rRNA from 1 species
UACGAAGGGUGCAAGCGUUACUCGGAAUUACUGGGCGUAAAGGGCGCGUAGGCGGCUUUAUAAGUCGGGGGUGAAAGCCUGUGGCUCAACCACAGAAUUGCCUUCGAUACUGUAGAGCUUGAGACCGGAAGAGGUAAGUGGAACUGCGAGUGUAGAGGUGAAAUUCGUAGAUAUUCGCAAGAACACCAGUGGCGAAGGCGGCUUACUGGUCCGGUUCUGACGCUGAGGCGCGAAAGCGUGGGGAGCAAACAGG